AGAUUGAACGCUGGCGGCGUGCUUAACACAUGCAAGUCGAGCGGUAACGCGGGAGCAAUCCUGGCGACGAGCGGCGAACGGGUGAGUAAUGCUUGGGAAUCUGCCCAUUAGUGGGGAACAACCAGCCGAAAGGUUGGCUAAUACCGCAUACGCCCUACGGGGGAAAGCGGGGGAUCGAAAGACCUCGCGCUAAUGGAUGAGCCCAAGUCGGAUUAGCUUGUUGGUAGGGUAACGGCCUACCAAGGCGACAAUCCGUAGCUGGUCUGAGAGGACGACCAGCCACACUGGGACUGAGACACGGCCCAGACUCCUACGGGAGGCAGCAGUGGGGGAAUAUUGGACAAUGGGGGCAACCCUGAUCCAGCGACGCCGCGUGUGUGAAGAAGGCCUGCGGGUUGUAAAGCACUUUUAGUGGGAUGAAAAGCUCAGGGUUAACACCUCUGGGUCUUGACCUAACCCACAGAAAAGCACCGGCUAACUCUGCGCCAGCAGCCGC
rnacentral:rRNA from 1 species